ACCGAUUUCCCUUGGUGUUUAGAUGUGGAUGUGGUCUCUAGCACCAUUAGAAAUCGGUUA
rnacentral:pre_miRNA from 1 species